UACGAAGGGGGCUAGCGUUGUUCGGAAUUACUGGGCGUAAAGCGCGCGCAGGCGGCCAUUCAAGUCAGGGGUGAAAGCCCAGAGCUCAACUCUGGAACUGCCCUUGAAACUGUAUGGCUUGAGUAUGAGAGAGGUGAGUGGAAUUCCCAGUGUGGAGGUGAAAUUCGUAGAUAUUGGGAAGAACACCGGUGGCGAAGGCGGCUCACUGGCUCAUUACUGACGCUCAGGCGCGACAGCGUGGGGAUCAAACAGG
rnacentral:rRNA from 1 species